UGUAUUGGGCUAAGGGAGUUCAACACUGAGUAUAUGAGGGUCUUAAUGUUGCCUUUUUUGUACUGUUGUGUAUGCCUCAAUUAGUUGAACUUCUUACAUGACUUGUGUAGUUGAGUGGAUAGAGAUAGGCCUGUUACGUUAUUGGGACAUGACAGUCAUACCCUUACAUGAGAUUACAUGGUGCUGAAAUGUGAAAAUACUGAAGAUGGAAUAGGUCCAGUUGACACAUCUGAUUCAACCAAUCAAAUAACUAUCAAUACCUUUUCUAUUGGUCGUAUGGUGGGUUGAUUCUCUGGUUAGACGUCACUUACACUGGAGCUGCAUUCAACAACGGAAAUAGUUCGCACACGUUGGCGAACAUAUUUCAUUUGUUUUGUUAAGGUUAGCGAACAGUCUUUGGAGAUAUUGUGUGGCGAACAUAAGUGUCUGUUCGGGUCUAAACUGCUGCUAAAAAUAAUAAUGUGGCUAUGUGGACUUUCUAAUAUUUUUUAGUAGGAAUAGCUUAGUCAUUUUCAGUGUAAAAUCCUUACAAAAAGUAGCUGUUUGAUGUUUCAGGGUAACAUUUUAGAAUAUUAAUUCAAAUCAUCGAUGUUACUCUGGCAACAAGUUCGCUGCAAACAUAAGCCUUGUUGAACUCGCCUCUGGAGCGGCAAAGAUGACAUGGUCGCUACAAUCUGCUCAUUCAGGAGGGUCAGCCUGAGCUUGGCAAUGUAUUGAUUAUCCAAUCUAUCAAGCAUACAAACAAGUUAGCAUGAAAUACUGUAUAUGUGAUUCGUAGAUUAGUGAACCAGAGGUACAGCUCCAGUAGGAGCCUGGCCCUCACUGCAGAUCUACACAGUAAAAACUGGAGUGUUUUUUCUGGAGGUAAAGUGAUUUUCCUCUCAAGUAGUGAAAAUGAAAUCAUGUUAGAGUCGAGUUAUUACCAGCAGCAGCUGGACUGGGAGCUAAAAUAAAGAUGAAAUUCUAUUGGAGUAAAACCGCAUGACCACGCCCACUAAUGUUGGUUAAAUUUAGAUUUCCCGCCAUUUGUCCAUUUGCAAGUGUCUCGUGAAAGGAAAGAGUGGACCGAUGGAGGGCGUGGAUCCGCCGAACAUCCGUAGUCAUUCACUGAACCACAGCAUUUCUUCACUUCUGAACUUAAUCAGAGUUCCAGGAUGCAGGCUGUACGAGUGAAGUACAGGGAUUGUCAGAAGUACAUUUGUUAUGAGUUGCAACUGACCAUCAAAUCCUUUUUGGAUUGAGAUUCGUUGAGCUCUUCUGCAAGCAGCUCCUUAUCAAAAUACAGUGGAUACAAUGGGGGGGACUCCGAUGACACCAUUAUAUUGCAGCAGAGUCCUGCUACAAGAAAGACAGCUGAGGAUAAUCGUCUAUCUCAUAUGAUUGAAGACAUUCUGAACAACAAACCUGGAGGAGAGAGGAUCAUGAAUGAGUGUGCUCGGACAAAAAGCCUAACAGAUAGCAGAAGACGCGAUAUGACCAAGAUAUUAGUUGCUCAAAUGACAAGUGAACAUGGGUAUAUGUCAUAUACUCAUUACAUACCUUACCACCUAACACAAUUUUUAGCAGAGUUGUGAUUUACACAAUACUUUUGUUUGGAUCUCAAACAGUAAAGUGUGUGUGUCUAGGACAAGUCCUUCAAGGCGUGUUAGAGGACUACGCAAAGGGCAUCAUUGCUUUGUUCCCAUACCUGGCUGAUCCUAGGAGCAAAUUUGGUUAUGAGCAUUAUUACAGUGCAGAAGAUGGGAGUGGAUAUCUAGCAUGGAGACUGAAAUUUGUGCAAAGGGAAGCAUCAGAGGGACGACAGAAGACCAUGCAUCAGUCACUGACGUGUGGUCCAAAAGCUGAUGGACAGUUUUCCUCUCUGAAGGAGUCUAACAUACAGCUGAAGCAUACAGCUGAUGAAACAAUUGUAAAGGAGAAGAUGUUCGCCUAUUGUCAAAAUAUGGUUCAUGAGCCAGUGAAGUCCUCUGAAAUAUUCACAGCGUUUCCAAGAUUCCAAGACAUAGCAGCAAUGAUUUUAGUCUGAUGUUUGGUGAUGCAACCUCUGCAAAGUUCCUGGAGAAGUGGCCUACUCUCUACAAGGAGAAAGUCAUUGACCAAAGCAGUGGCCUCACACAGACAGGCGACCUGGUUCAAAAUGCUGAAUGGAUGGGACAGUGACAUGUCCUCCAUUUUGGUCCUUGUCCACCUUCUGCCACCGUCACCUCAUGGCUGCAAGAGACCAGGAAAAAUCUCAACCAGACACACCAGUGAACACAUUGAAGUUUAUCACGGUGUCAUUACAGUUGACUGUUCUGUCCCCAUUCCUAAUCCUAAUAACUACUUUUAAGAUUAUGGACAAGUCAUGGUAAGAUCAUGUGUAGCUGUAAUUUACAUUUUCACAAACUGUUUGCGAACCGUGACUCAUUUUAAUAGCACACUAAGGGGCAUCUGGAGACCGUCAUGGAAAGCCUUCAACCCUAUCUGCUUGCUGUGGGUUCCCAGAGGAGUGGGAUUCACAAGUACUCAUUGUGAUUGACAAACAUGUAAUACCUUGUAAGUCACCAGACUCUAUUGCCUGUUUUGAUGAGCUUUUCAAAGCUCAUGUUUGUCUUUGGUACCUUGUACAAUCAGGAUCUGGUAAAUGUGUACAACUUUUGCAAACCACAAUUUAUGAAAUUGAUGUUGAUACCACCAAGGUUAAUCCUAGGGUUGCAGAGUUGAGGGCUCGGAUGCUGCAUUGAGUUACUAAAAGUUUUGAAGUUGCAAAGGGUUAAAACGCAGCAUGGGAAAUAACCUUUUUCCUUUCACACAAAUGUUUUCAUAUCAUUCAUCUAAAAUGUUGUGUUUUGCUUGCAAAAGCCCACAGGCAAAUGCCAAUUCCUUGACAAAACACUUGAAGUUGGUCCACAGACUUUGUCAAGGAAAGACACUUGGUCUUAAAUGCGGUCAGGCUGGUAGUUCACAAGUUUAUGGCACUUUUUCUGGGUUUAGAAAGGAUCUUUAUAAAGCACAUGAACCUUGUUCUGAUCACGGUGAAGGCUCCUGAAUAUGUAGCAGUAAGUCAUUUUGAUGACCUGCCAUCAAGUUCCCCUUCUGACUCAGUCCUUGCCAAUAAGAGUCUUGUAGACAGCUGCGCUGCAACCAUAGCUGAACUUAAAGUGGCAAGUGUAGGUGAAACAACCAUUAGCUCUUUGGUAAUUUCCAAUGAAGAGAUAGUUGAUGAUAUUCAUAUUCAAGCUAAAGGAUCUGGGAAGAAGUCUGUCUAUACAGGAGCCUAUUAAAAGUGACAUUGAGUGUAAAAUUGAUCAGUGUUUUGAAAAAAUGUAAAAUCCCUUUGGUGUAUUAAAUUCUGAAAGUAAGAGAAGGCAGUAUUUUACAGAAAAGUGGGGAAGGGUAGACCCAGUGAAUACGUUCUUGGUACAAGAUCUGAUACACAAUGCAAUCGGACUACGGGAGGCUACGAUCAAAUGAUUGUCAUUGAUAUAUUUGUUUACAUCCCAAUUUUGAAAACAUUCGUUUAUUUACAAACACCCAAAUAUAAAGGAGAUGAUGCAGCCUGAUUCCAGUUCAAGAGAACUUUAUGACUUAUGUGAUGGAGAUCUGUUCCAAGAGCCAUGCUCUAUUUUCAAAACAGAAGCAAUUCAGAUACAGCUUCUCUGUGAUGGUUUUGAAACUGUAAAUCCUCUUGGAUCAAAACAGGGAAAACAAAAUAAAUUAGGAGCAAUCUAUUUCAACUUAUGUAAUUUUUCUCCAAAGUUCAAAUCAUUUCUGCUUAAUAGUAAUUUGGUUGCUUUAUUUCAUGCCCAAGACAUUAAAACAUGGCUUUUCUAAAAUACUUGAUCCAAUUGUGCAGGAUAUUAAAAUACUUGAGAGGGAUGGAAUUAUGGUUCCCUUGUAUGAUCAACCAGUGUAUGGAACUAUUGUCCAAGUCACAGGUGACAACCUUGGUCUUCACUGUUUAUUUUGUUUUGUCGAAUCAUUCAUUGCCAGAUAUUGAUGUCGCUUUUGUCUUGCUGAGACAGACGACUUUCAGACUGAAUUUGAUGAAGAUUCACCCAAGAUAGUUAUGCGAACUCGAGCACUUCAUGCAGAACACUGCCCAAAAAAAGGCGACAAAUCCCAGUCUUCCCUAUGUGAUGGGUGUUAAACGUUCUUGCGUUCUAAACUCCUUGCCGUACUUCAAUACACGUGACAUCUUCUCUCUCGAUAUUAUCCAUGAUAUCUUGGAGGGAGUGGCACAAUAUGAAAUGAAACUGCUAGUACUGCACUUGAUAGACAAGUACACAACAUCAAAUGAAAUAGACAGGAGAAUAAAGAGCUUUAACUGUGGUUACAUGGAGCAAAACAACAAACCUCCUGCAGUGAAGUUAGGAGAGGACUCUAAUGACUUGGGGUUAAAUGCUAUCCAGUCCUGGUGUUUACUUGGAGACUUAGUUUGUCCGAAUGAUCUACACUGGUAUUUACUGUUGCUGUUGCUUCAGUGAUAUCUCCAAUGAUAUCAAAGGGUGUUACAAUUUUUUUGAAACGUUUAAUCGCAGAACACCACAGGUUAUUCAAGCAAUUGUUUCCAAAAAAGAGGCUGCUACCGAAGCAUAAUUUUAUGGUGCAUUACCCCACAUGUAUGCUUGAAAUUUGACCAAUUUUACAUAGCUGGUGCAUGCGCAAAAUGAAAAUGAAGCAAAGCAUAAUUCCUUUAAAAUAAAAUUAAAAAGCUUAAAUGUAACAAACAUUGGCAAAAAGAACACAAGUCAAACAGCAUACAGUUGGUAGACAUUUGACACCAACAGAGUCAUGAUUAGUCCAGGUAAAAUGUUAUCUUUAAAUGUCGUGGACUGGGGCUGUAAGAUGGCUGAGACUCUUCGGGUACCAAUUGACACCACGGUUUUAAAUGUUAAAUGGACCAAACACCAUGGAAAUAUGUGUAGUUUAGUUGUUUGUCUUAAAGUUAAUUGUGAGAUGACAGUUUUUCAGAAAAUCCACCAUAUUGUUGUUAAAGAUGAGUGAUUACUGUUGGUUACUUUUGCCCUAUAAAUGUCUUCAUGAGCAUUUUAAUGCAGAUAGAGUUGGUGUGCAACAGAGGGACCUUAUGUAGUGGAUGUUAAGGAGCUUUUCUGUCACAAAGCAUUUGAUAUACAGAUGUCUUACAGUUGUGGUGAUUCAACUUUGUUUAUUGUCUCAUACUGUUUCCCGUGACUCUAAAAACUGCACAGUAAGCUCUUUAAAACCAAGAUGUAUUGUAUUGCAAUAUUGGCUUUUUGAUUUACUUUUAAAGGAGGGACAGAUGCCAACAUGUAAUUUUACAGAGGCCACAAUUUUAUUUGAUCAUCAGUGUUUUUGAUAUCUGAGAUGCUAGUUUCACAAAAUCCUCCAUGUCAUUGUUAGAUGUAUUGAAUUGCAAUAUUGAGCUUUUCUAUGUACAUGUAUUAAAGUGAACAGAGGCCAACAUUUCAUUUCAGUCCACAAUUUUAUUUUAUUAUCAUCAGUAUUUUGAUGUAUGUAUUGCAAAUGUCUUACAUUUAAGAAUAAAGUGCUUUGUUAAAUACUGA